rnacentral:rRNA from 1 species
GUGUCAGCAGCCGCGGUAAUACGUAGGGUGCAAGCGUUAAUCGGAAUUACUGGGCGUAAAGCGUGCGCAGGCGGUUAUAUAAGACAGAUGUGAAAUCCCCGGGCUUAACCUGGGAACUGCACUUGUGACUGCACGGCUUGAGUGCGGCAGAGGGGGAUGGAAUUCCGCGUGUAGCAGUGAAUGCGUAGAUAUGCGGAGGAACACCGAUGGCGAAGGCAAUCCCCUGGGCCUGCACUGACGCUCAUGCACGAAAGCGUGGGGAGCAAACAGGAUUAGAUACCCGUGUAGUCC